GAUGAACGCUAGCUACAGGCUUAACACAUGCAAGUCGAGGGGCAGCAUGACGAUAGCUUGCUAUUGUUGAUGGCGACCGGCGCACGGGUGAGUAACGCGUAUCCAACCUGCCCUUGUCCACCGGAUAACCCGUCGAAAGGCGGACUAACACGGUAUGCAGUCCACAGCAGACAUCUAACGUGGACGAAAUGUGAAGGAGAAGGAUGGGGAUGCGUCUGAGUAGCUUGUUGGCGGGGUAACGGCCCACCAAGGCGACGAUCAGUAGGGGUUCUGGGAGGAAGGUCCCCCACAUUGGAACUGAGACACGGUCCAAACUCCUAAGGGAGGCAGCAGUGAGGAAGAUUGUUCAAUGGGCAAGAGCUUGAACCAGCCAAGUAGCGUGCAGGAAGACGGCCCUAUGGGUUGUAAACUGCUUUUAUACGGGGAUAAAGUGAGUCACGUGUGGCUUAUUGCAGGUACCGUAUGAAUAAGGACCGGCUAAUUCCGUGCCAGCCGCCGCGGUAA
rnacentral:rRNA from 1 species